GGCACAACCAUUAAGACCCUCAUCUAUAGUGGACUGGAACAAAGCACAGAACUUAUAAAAAAGAAAAAAGUGCACAUUCAGUUUAAUGAGGUGUUAAUUCAAGGAAUGCUGUGAGAGUCAGAAGUUCUAAAUGCCAGUGUUUAAAAAGAUCCAUGUCACAGUGAUCUUGGGUAGGCUGGGACACACCAGCUCACUGACGGACCUGAAAAUGGAUUGCUGUGGGACUACAACCCUACUCAGGAUAUUCUGAGUUAUAAGUGGAAUGUUUGCAUGGGAUAUGUGUUACAUAGGGCGUCAUCAGGAAAACUGAAAGCAAUCUAGAUUCCAAGCAUGCUAAAGCUGGAAGAGCAAAGUUCAAGGUGACUGUAACACAGAUUGAUGAAAGAUUCUGCAGGACGACAAAGGUUAAAGAUGUAGACCCGGAGCUAGAAGCCAGCACUGACACUGAUGGAGUGGACUGCGAUGAGAAUGCCCACAUUAUUGUCCUAUCCUCUGAUAACCAAUGUAAUAUGAAAACCGACUACAGAAGAAAGGAACAAAUUAAAUCCAUUAAUCAAGCA
rnacentral:lncRNA from 1 species